GGCUUCUUGCGACCCUAGAGCCUUCGCGCGGGAAACUUGCUGGGUAACGUAAAUUACAGAAACGGAGUUUAGAAGUAUGCAGUCCGGUGUACCAGAUGGAGGAAAAUUGAGGACGUUUGUCUCUGUCAGAUGACCUCUACGCUUUGUUGGGGGAAGAAAUGAACGCUAUUCACACAAGAGACAGAUGGAGCAAGUGGCCCAGGUGGUGUACUAAUCAAAGCCAUUCUCUGAAGUGACAAGAGGAAAGUGAGUCAUUUGGUGAGGCCACCUGGAUUGAAACUGGGCUGCUUGCCCGAGGAGUACAUGAGGAAGGAACUGUCCUACCAUGCCGUCAGCCUGAAGUCUACUUAUAUGUGGUUCAUACACAGUAAAUCCUUGUAGGGAUAACUGACUGGGAUGCAACUGCUUGUCCUUGAAUAUAUGCAAGGAGUGAUUACAUAACUUACCUUAACCUUUAGGAAGGGACUUUACCUCCCAGGUUCUUCACUGGUAACAGGAGUGCAUUCCCCUUACCUCCCCGACUAGGGGUGAGAUAAAUAGGAUAAAGGGCCUGGUGCCAGGGCGCCUGGGUGGCUCAGUCGCUAAGCGUCUGCCUUCGG